UUAUAUAUUGCUGAAAAAGCGGCCAGUGCUCUACCUCUAUAGUGACUCAUGGGUGGUGGCAAAUGCCCUGUGGGGGUGGUUACAGCAAUGGAAGCAGAGCAACUGGCAGCGCAGAGGUAAACCCAUUCGGGCU